CAGUCGCCGCGGGAACACGUAGGGUGCGAGCGUUAAUCGGAAUUACUGGGCGUAAAGCGUGCGCAGGCGGUUGUGUAAGACAGGUGUGAAAUCCCCGGGCUUAACCUGGGAACUGCGCUUGUGACUGCACAGCUAGAGUAUGGCAGAGGGGGGUGGAAUUCCACGUGUAGCAGUGAAAUGCGUAGAGAUGUGGAGGAACACCGAUGGCGAAGGCAGCCCCCUGGGCCAAUACUGACGCUCAUGCACGAAAGCGUGGGGAGCAAAUGGGAUUAGAGACCCCAGUAGUCCCUGUCUCUUAUAC
rnacentral:rRNA from 1 species